rnacentral:rRNA from 1 species
AGAGCGUAUGGUGGAUGCCUUGGCACUAAGAGCCGAUGAAAGACGUGAUAAGCUGCGAAAAGCUUCGGGGAGGAGCAAAUAUCCUUUGAUCCGGAGAUUUCUGAAUGGGGAAACCUACUUGAGCAAACCUCAAGUAUCCUUAAGCCAAUACAUAACUUAAGGAAGGGAACCCGGUGAACUGAAACAUCUAAGUAGCCGGAGGAAGAGAAAACAACAUGUGAUUCUGUGAGUAGCGGCGAGCGAAAACGGAAGAGCCCAAACCAGCGUGCGUGCAUGCUGGGGUUCGGACCGCGGAAUUGAUUCAACGAGUUUAGCAGAACGGUUUUGGGAAAGCCGGCCAGAGAGGGUGAAAGCCCCGUAAGCGAAAGACGAGUUGACAUGGCGGGAUCCAGAGUACCACGAGACACGUGGAACCUUGUGGGAAGAUGCGGGGACCACCCCGUAAGGCUAAAUACUACUUAGUGACCGAUAGCGCAUAGUACUGUGAAGGAAAGGUGAAAAGGACCCCGGGAGGGGAGUGAAAGAGAACCUGAAACCAUAUGUUUACAAGCUGUGGAAGAGCUUUAUAUGCUCAACCGCGUACUUUUUGUAGAACGGUCCGGCGAGUUACGCUGGCUGGCGAGGUUAAGGACUAAAGGUCCGGAGCCGAAGGGAAACCAAGUCUGAACAGGGCGCAUAGUCAGUCGGAGUAGACCCGAAACCGGGUGAUCUAUCCAUGUCCAGGUUGAAGUUGCCGUAAAAGGCAAUGGAGGACCGAACCCACAUCCGUUGAAAAGGGUGGGGAUGAGGUGUGGAUAGGGGAGAAAUUCCAAUCGAACCCGGAGAUAGCUGGUUCUCCUCGAAAUAGCUUUAGGGCUAGCCUCAUACGAGUCUUGCGGAGGUAGAGCACUGAAUUCCUAAGGGGGCGUCAAAGCUUACUAAGGGAUAUCAAACUCCGAAUGCCGUGUAGAUGAUGUAUGGGAGUCAGACGAUCCGAGAUAAGUUGGGUGGUCAAAAGGGAAAGAGCCCAGACCAACAGCUAAGGCCCCAAAAUGUGUGUUAAGUGGAAAAGGAUGUGGGAUUUCGAAGACAACUAGGAUGUUGGCUCAGAAGCAGCCACACAUUCAAAGAGUGCGUAAUAGCUCACUAGUCGAGAGGUCCUGCGCCGAAAAUGUCCGGGGCUGAAACACACUGCCGAAGCUUUGGAAUUGAUGAAUUUCAAUUGGUAGAGGAGCAUUCUUAAAGAGACGAAGCAGUACCGGAAGGAGCUGUGGAUUUUUAAGAAGAGAGAAUGCCGGAAUGAGUAGCGAGAGGAAGGUGGGAAUCCUUCCGGCCGAAUAUCUAAGGUUUCCAGAGUAAAGCUGAUCUGCUCUGGGUAAGUCGGGGCCUAAGGCGAGGUCGAAAGACGUAGUCGAUGGAUAACAGGUUGAAAUUCCUGUACUAUCCUGUAACAGAACUGUGGGGACACAGGCAGAGAGCGUGAGCCGGGAAUGGAAAGACCGGUACAAGCGAGGUAGGAGAAGAGUUGGCAAAUCCGCUCUUCAAUCUGAAGACGUGAUGUGGACCGAAAAGAAGUAGGGAAGCACGUGAGCUGACUGUCAAGAAAAGCCGCUAUUGUUUGCAGGAUACCCGUACCGUAAACCGACACAGGUGGAUGAGGAGAGAAUCCUAAGGCCGACGGGAGAAGCAUUGUUAAGGAACUCGGCAAAAUGACUCCGUAACUUCGGGAGAAGGAGUGCCAGUAAGAUGGCCGCAGAGAAUUGGCCCAAGCAACUGUUUAGCAAAAACACAGGUCUAUGCAAAACCGAAAGGUGAGGUAUAUGGGCUGACGCCUGCCCGGUGCUGGAAGGUUAAGGGGAGAGGUUAGCGCAAGCGAAGCUUUGAACUUAAGCCCCAGUAAACGGCGGCCGUAACUAUAACGGUCCUAAGGUAGCGAAAUUCCUUGUCGGGUAAGUUCCGACCCGCACGAAAGGCGUAAUGAUUUGAGCGCUGUCUCGACAAUGCAUCCGGUGAAAUUGAAGUACCAGUGAAGAUGCUGGUUACCUGCGCCAGGACGGAAAGACCCCAUGGAGCUUUACUCCAGUCUGGUACUGGGACUCGGUAUUGCAUGUACAGGAUAGGUGGGAGGCUAGGAGAUGGUAACGCCAGUUGCCAUGGAGCCGCUGUUGGGAUACCACCCUUGCAGUAUUGGGUUUCUAACCAGCCGCCGUGACCCGGCGGUGGGACAAUGCCAGACGGGGAGUUUGACUGGGGCGGUCGCCUCCGAAAGGGUAUCGGAGGCGCCCAAAGGUUCCCUCAGAAUGGACGGAAACCAUUCGAAGAGUGCAAAGGCAGAAGGGAGCUUGACUGCGACACCGACGG